CUCCAGGUGACACAACUCUUGAUGCUCUUUAGUUCAACUUACAAUCACGGACUCUGGGCAGGCUACAGGAGGACCUUAUUACAUCGUUAAAAUAAACGUAUAAGUUUGAAGAUAGCAUAUAGCGAUGCUCAUAAUUGGUACAGUUCUCCUGUCCUGCCAUGCAGGUGGAAGGAUGGCCUUCAGCUGAAAGGACUGCCCUUCCCCACCCACUUUCCAAUUAGGUAUGCCUAUGUGACUUGCUUUGGCAAUGGAAUAUACUCAGUAAGAGCCCAUUACCAAUAGGUAAUUCACCACAUCCCCUUCCUCCUG
rnacentral:lncRNA from 1 species